UCCUCGAAGCCUGGGAGCAACCGGUUGUCCAGGGAACGCCACGUGCCCCCGCGGAAGGAGUCGCGCGACGCGGCCCGUGGAUUUGCCGCAACUGCCUUUCCUCUCCUUCCAGUGGGACCUAGCGGACCUGUCUUCACGAGGCGCCGCCGCUUCUCCCUCCUCCCCUUUUCGGUUUUGCGUGUGGCUCGUGGAGGCGGUGUGGUGUUUGGGAAGUGAGGGCGGCUCCGGCGGAGGAACCCGCCGGCGGGGACCCCAGCGGUGGUGCGCCGAGCCGCCGGCCUGUCCGGCGCUGCCAUACUCCCGGCGCGCCCCAUCCGGAACGCGAAGAUUCCCCUACGUUGCCUCUGUUCUCUCCGUUCUUGCGCUAAGGCUUCUGUCCGUGAACGUGGUUAGGUGGGACUCAACACAAAAUAAGUAUGACCUUUGCUAACAUAAUGGGGUUGAGGAAAGAUCCGGUACCAAAACUUAGAAUUUCUCUCUUUUAAAAUGUAUGUGAUUGUGUACAAGACAAAUGGAAGCACAUGGAAGGUCAUCAUUAUGGUUGAAUCGUUCUUGAGGUGCUUUUGUGCUGUUGGACUUUGGUCACGAGUUAAGCUAUUUGCAAUCCGAGGUAGGUUCUGAAAUAGGGAUGUUAGGAUCAUUCAGGUAGAUAAGUUCAUUGUAAUCAAUUCGUAUUCUUUGUUAAGACAAACAAGUAUAUGUGUUGCACUUGCAUGAUGUUGAUCCUCCAUCCUCCCAACCCCAUAUUGUCGGUGGAAACUUUAAGUUUAUUUCUGUAGUUUGUAAUCCCAAAAAUGGUGUUCCUGGUUAA